rnacentral:rRNA from 1 species
CUCGUAGUUGGAUUUCUGCCGAGGAUGACCGGUCCGCCCUGUGGGUGUGCAUCUGGCUCAGCCUUGGCAUCUUCCUGAAGAACGUAGCUGCACUUGACUGUGUGGUGCGGUAUUUAGGACAUUUACUUUGAGGAAAUUAGAGUGUUUCAAGCAAGCGCACGCUUUGAAUACAUUAGCAUGGAAUAAUAAGAUAGGACCUCGGUUCUAUUUUGUUGGUUUCUAGAGCUGAGGUAAUGAUUGAUAGGGAUAGUUGGGGGCAUUCGUAUUUAACUGUCAGAGGUGAAAUUCUUGGAUUUGUU